AUUGAACGCUGGCGGCACGCCUUACACAUGCAAGUCGAACGGUAACAGGUCUUCGGAUGCUGACGAGUGGCGAACGGGUGAGUAAUACAUCGGAACGUGCCUAGUAGUGGGGGAUAACUACUCGAAAGAGUGGCUAAUACCGCAUGAGAUCUACGGAUGAAAGCAGGGGAUCGCAAGACCUUGUGCUACUAGAGCGGCCGAUGGCAGAUUAGGUAGUUGGUGGGAUAAAAGCUUACCAAGCCGACGAUCUGUAGCUGGUCUGAGAGGACGAUCAGGCAAACUGGGAGUGAGAACAGGCCCCGACUCCUUCGGGGAGCAAGAGUGGGGAAUUUUGGACAAAGGGGGAAAGCCUGAACCAGCAAUGCCGCGUGCAGGAUGAAGGCCUUCGGGUUGUAAACUGCUUUUGUACGGAACGAAAAGCCCCGGGUUAAUACCCUGGGGUCAUGACGGUACCGUAAGAAUAAGCACCGGCUAACUACGUGCCAGCCGCCGCGGUAA
rnacentral:rRNA from 1 species